GAUGAACGCUAGCGGCAGGCUUAAUACAUGCAAGUCGAGGGGCAGCAUGAGUGUAGCAAUACAUUUGAUGGCGACCGGCAAACGGGUGCGGAACACGUACACAACCUUCCUAUAAGUGGGGAAUAGCCCAGAGAAAUUUGGAUUAAUACCCCGUAACAUAAUGAUGUGGCAUCACAUUAUUAUUAUAGCUUCGGCGCUCAUUGAUGGGUGUGCGGCUGAUUAGAUAGUUGGCGGGGUAACGGCCCACCAAGUCUACGAUCAGUAGCUGAUGUGAGAGCAUGAUCAGCCACACGGGCACUGAGACACGGGCCCGACUCCUACGGGAGGCAGCAGUAAGGAAUAUUGGUCAAUGGACGCAAGUCUGAACCAGCCAUGCCGCGUGAAGGAUUAAGGUCCUCUGGAUUGUAAACUUCUUUUAUCUGGGACGAAAAAAGGCGAUUCUUCGUCACUUGACGGUACCAGAUGAAUAAGCACCGGCUAACUCCGUGCCAGCAGCCGCCGUAACAC
rnacentral:rRNA from 1 species